rnacentral:rRNA from 1 species
UACAGAGGUCUCAAGCGUUGUUCGGAUUCAUUGGGCGUAAAGGGUGCGUAGGCGGCAGUGCAAGUCAGGUGUGAAAUCCCGGGGCUCAACCCCGGAACUGCACUUGAUACUGCUCUGCUCGAGUACUGGAGAGGAGACUGGAAUUUACGGUGUAGCAGUGAAAUGCGUAGAUAUCGUAAGGAAGACCAGUGGCGAAGGCGAGUCUCUGGACAGUUACUGACGCUGAGGCACGAAGGCCAGGGGAGCAAACGGG